GUGGUGAAGGUCUGGAGCUGGGAUCGGUGACCUGCACUGAGGCUCA
rnacentral:snoRNA from 1 species